rnacentral:rRNA from 1 species
ACUCCUACGGGAGGCAGCAGUGGGAAUAUUGCACAAUGGGCGCAAGCCUGAUGCAGCAACGCCGCGUGAGGGAUGACGGCCUUCGGGUUGUAAACCUCUUUAGCAGGGAAGAAGCGAAAGUGACGGUACCUGCAGAAAAGCGCCGGCUAACUACGUGCCAGCAGCCGCGGUAAUACGUAGGGCGCAAGCGUUAUCCGGAAUUAUUGGGCGUAAAGAGCUCGUAGGCGGUUUGUCGCGUCUGCUGUGAAAUCCCGAGGCUCAACCUCGGGUCUGCAGUGGGUACGGGCAGACUAGAGUGCGGUAGGGGAGAUUGGAAUUCCUGGUGGUAGCGGUGGAAUGCGCAGAUAUCAGGAGGAACACCGAUGGCGAAGGCAGAUCUCUGGGCCGUAACUGACGCUGAGGAGCGAAAGGGUGGGGAGCAAAC